CCUGCAGGGAGACAGAAAAUAGCUGGUUAAGGGCAGAGCUAGAAAUCAGACCAAAAAAAUAGAACAAUAAUAAGGUACGAAUCAGACCAUUGAAAGAAGGGGAAAGAGAGGAAAAUUUUCUGUUUUUUCCUCAAGAAAUACAAAGGACUUUUCAACUUACAUUUUCCAGGAAUCAAAAUGAAGCUGCAAAAAAUUAAGUUUUCCUGAGAGAGUUGAAGACUGGAACCAAAAGCGGCUCAUGGACCAGUCAAUUAGUCCAUCUAUAUUCAUCAUUGGGUUUUCAAAUAUUUAGUGUUAAUAGAAGAAGGGCUUCAGGAAAAGCAAAGGAUGGGAUGGUUUUCCUUUGUGGACAGCCCAUUAGAAAGGAAGAAGACUUCUCAGGCCCUCCCAAAAGAUGGAACUAGAGAGUAAUCCCUCCUCCUAAGAGUUGCUAAUGUGCAUCCUAAUUGGAAAUGUGAUCUAAGAAACCCAUUUUGAAAGUCAAAAAGAGGCCUCUGCAUUUGGGAAACCACAGUGAAGCAGUGGUAGUAAUCCACCUGAGGAUCUCAUGUGACAGAAGCUCUGGUCACAACUGAAGAUCAUACCCCAUCGUCUGACUCAGUAAAUAUUUCAGAUUUUAACAUCCUAGGAUCUCCAGCACCCCCAGAACUCAGUCUUGUUCAUAAACUGAUGAAACACUGCAUUCUGUCCUCGCACAGUACUCUGAAAAGUGAGACCUCUCUCCCUCAGCAAAGCUGGCUACCAAACUUUGACAAGAAGGAGGUUCAGAGGGGCACCUGGGUGGCUCAGUGGGUUAAAGCCUCUGCCUUCAGCUGGGUCAUGAUCUCAGGGUCCUGGGAUCGAGUCCUGCAUCGGGCUCUCUGCUCGGCAGGGAGCCUGCUUCCCCCCUUUCUCUCUGCCUGCCUCUCUGCCUACUUCUGAUCUCUGUCAAGUAAAUAAAUAAAAUCUUUAAAAAAAAAAAAAGGUUCAGAAAGAUGGUUUUCUCUAGCCAGUCGAGACCUAACAGACUGGGGGAAGGGGCGUAGGGCUGCCAGAACUCCCAGUCUAAAUUAUAAAGCUGACAAGGUCAAGAUUCAGAUGAACCCAAAACUUCCCUGGCAGCUUGUCUAGUGAGAUGACUUCCUGACUUGUUCUGGCUAGAAGGUGUCAACUUUUUGAACAGUCACAGAACUAGCCUUCUAAGGCAGUGGUCCUUCAGCCUAGCUGUAUAACUUGCAUCACCUAGUAAGCCUAAUACUCAGGGCCAGGCCUUCCACACCCCAGAGUCUGGCUUCACUGGGCCGGGACAGAGCUUGGGCACCACCGUGUUUUAAAAACCUCCCAGAUACAUGUUAAUGUGCAUCUGGAUCCUAUAGACUUAAUCCUCUUUCCUUUUUCCAUAGGAGAGUUAAAGACUAUCACCCCAGAGUCAAACCACCAGUUGUCCGGUUUUACUUUCAGAAGGAUAGAAUAGUGAUGAGAAUCAGCCAAACUGAUAUUUGGGGAAACUGACUCAUUUUCAUAAAUAACCAGCCAUUUUAAUGAAUCUGAGCUACUUUUAGCUCAGAUUUACCUCAUGACGUCCAUAUUCGGGCCUACCAAAGCAUUCUGACUGAUAGCGGAAGUUCAUGAACUACGGUUCUAACAAUUAAAAAUGUCCUCAGUUUCCCCCCGUGAGCUAAAUCACCAUCAUCAAUGCCCAACGAACGUUGCUCACAGAAGCACAAACUGAGAACUGACAAGAGUCGACCAAGGUUUGUUGUAAAAAUCAAUCAAUAACGCAGUUGGCCUUGUUGUAGAAAUCUACUGGGAAAGCACCUUCAAAGUAAAUUCAAAUGAACUCCUCUCUAUCACUUGGCCUUAAGAAUACCUCUUUAAAUGACACACAAAAAAAUGUUUUUAAAAUCCCGUUGUGUGGGCUAGAGUGGCUAUAUCUGGCAAGUUUGGUAGCCAGUUUCAGUCGGUUUUUAAUCUGUCUGGAAGGAUUUCAUGUUUUCUCCCAAGUGCAGGCCAGUUGCCAACUCUUUCAAACCAAGAGGUUAAUUAUCUGGUGGUUUUCCACUACUUCUAAGCAUGAGCAAAUUCAGAUUGUUGGCUGCACGCAUGUACAAAGCGGAAACGUGAUGAGAACUCGGGCUUGAAAUUGACCCUCCCGGCUGCUCAAAGUAAAGCUUUGCAGCUCUAAGUGAUGCUUCCUCACAUGCACAGAAUUUAAGAGUCCCAAGGGUCAGCCAUCAGGUUUUUCCCUUAAUAAAUGAGGAAAUGUUAUUUAAAUUAUUUUUUGCUUUACACAUUUGGGUCGAUUUAUAUUACUUUGUGAACUGAGAUCUGAAAUCGCUGAGUAACUACUUAAAACAAAUAAAAUGUAUUAAUGCAAAUCCCUAUGAUUGGUUUGAAGCAAAGAAAUGAAGCCGGGCCAUCAGAGAGACCUGCUCAUCAAAAACCCAGGUCACUGCUGAGAACUUGAUGAAUAAGGGAAUUGGGAUCAAAACAGAAAUGAUCAAAAGUCAGAGAUAUCUCCUACCAACUGAAUUUCAAACUGGUAUAGAAUCCUGACUCUGUUAGUGAGACCAUGGCCUAAGAGGGAGAUAAGAAGAGCUUUGAUGUUUUUCUCUCAAUUUGUACUGUGUACUGGCAAUUGAAAUUAUGACAUUCAUUGGCCAGUAAGAAAACAAAUAAGAGUACUACCUUUAAUGUGCAUGUCGCCCUAGACUGGUGAUUAUUUUUAAACGUAAAAAUUUUCUAAUUUUUAAUUUUUAAGUGUCAUAACUUUACAUUUAAAAAUGUGAUAAUUUUACUUUAAAAAAUUUUUUUCAUAAAAAAAUUGAAUCUAAAUCUUGGGCCUACACUGGCCAUGCUAGGCUAGGCUUGGCUUGGCACUCCUGGUCUCCCUAAGCCUUUGGGAGCUCCUGGCCUGUGUCACCUUCCCUUGAUUCUGAGGCCCGUGUGGCUGAAGUCAAUGCCAACACCGUCUCCCAGGGGAGCCUGAAACACACAUCCCUGGUUCUGAAGAUUCAGAACAAGGCUGUGGUUGCUCUGUUGCAGGACGGAACAAAGCCAGGAAAUCACACCUGGUGAAUCAGAGCCGCUCCGGGCCGAGUGCCACACCACCCUCAAACCUGCGGCCCCACGGGGCUGAGACCCGCGCCUUUUGGCAGAAAAGGCUAGUAAGAGGGGAAAGGGACUGUUGUACUCUCUCAUCUUCCUAGUACCAAGUCGCAGGGAAAUUCAAAGGCUCGGGUCCAAGUGCAGCAGUCUCGGCCUGGAUCAGGGUGCCGGCACCUUCCACCUACCUGCAGCUGCAGUCUUGACCGACUUGGAUGUGGAGGCAUUGGCGGCAUUCUUGGUGUCCUUGUCUUUCUCUUCCCCACGUGCAGCUUUGACCUCGGGAGUGGUAGUGGUUUUUGUUGCUUUCUCCACAGAUUCCUUCUUCUUAGGAGAAGCCACUCUAGACACUUUAUCUGAGGAUUCCUUCAAGCCCGCUGGUUUGGGUGAAGCUGCAGAGGGCUUCGACUUCCCGUCCCCCUUUUUGACAGGGGACGAUGACUUGGUCUUUGUGCCUGGCUUUUUGGUUUUGGUCUUCUCUUUCAGGUCUUUCUUCAGAGCUUUGCCCAGGUUCUGCUCGAUGGCCAAGGCCUCCGGGUCCAUCAUGGACACGUCAGGGUGGCGUGGAGAAGGGCUGCGGUCCUGCAUGGGAGCUGGAGACUUGACAAUUUCCUAUAAAAGGGAGAAGAGUCCACUGUUUUAGAAGGUUACUUGCUUGACUGGCGAGGAAAUACGGUGGACAGUGUAUCUCUGGGUUUUCGCAAGACGUUUAAGAAGAUCUCUGAACAGUGUGAUAGCAGAAUGAGGCGGAUACGUAGCCACUCAUAGAAAUCCUGCUGCUUAGUGUCAACCUGGACGGAGGUCUGUGAUGGGAUGCCUCAGGCCUCAUUUAUGUCCUGUGGAGCACGGACUUGGAUAAAAAUGGCAAAGACAUGCUUGUCAAAUCUGUCAGUGGCAUGACAAUGGGAGGCAGAGCAGAAGGUGGGAUGGCAGAAUUAAAACACUCAUGGAAAGCUCUUGACAUUGGGAUGAUGAUGGCUAAGUUAACUCUAACAGGCUGGCGUGCUAAAGGGAUAAAUGUAAGGUCCAGUAAACCAGCAGGAUAAAGCAAAGGAUUGGGAGAUGCGGCUUAACAACCAUAUUCAUGGAGAAGACUCAAGGAUUUUAGUUGACAGGCAAGUGGAUUUAUCGUAAAGCUAAAGAAGCUUAAACUUCAAGGCUCCUCACUGGCAUGGUCCCCUCCCAAAACCCUGUACUUAACUGUGUACUGAUAAUUUUGUUUUCUUUUUCUUAAAGUGAGCCUCCAGUUUAUGUAAAUUACAGCUCUCCUUAAAGCCUGCAUCCCCUCCCCAGUGACAUUUAAAUUAUGGAUGUUGAUGGUCAAAAGUUACUUUUAGACGUACUUAAUAAAAGAUUGUAUUGAAAACUACAGAAGUCAGGUUAGAAGUCCUAACCUGGUCAGGGACCCCUGGAGUAUGGUACCCAGUAUGAGUCAUGACAUUUUAAAGAAACUAGACCAAAACCAAACAGACAAACUGAAGUUGUCAUCUCCUCCUCCUUUACCAUAACCUCUAAACCUUGCUCUUCAAAUACACUUCUCUCUCUAGAUCACCUCAUCUGCUGCCACGUGUCUCCAGCCCCACUCUUGGUUCCUCGAGCCCCUGACUCAUGUAUCUAAUUGUCUGGUAACGCCAAGGCACUAAAACAUGCCCAAGACAACUCCUCACUUUCCCCCAAACCCAUCUCAUCCCUUUCCUGCCAACAGGUUUAAAGGAAAGUGACCAGACAAUGUAAUGAACUUUCACUCUCUUCUUUUAUGAAGAACGGUGUGCAGAACUGAAAAUAAUCUGAAGGGAAAAAACAACUGGCAGUGCUGGUGAUGGGUGUCUGCAAUACCUCAAGUGGAAAAGGGAGCGCAUUCUUUCCAAAAAUGAGAUAAAGAAGGAAAAACUCUCUAACAGAGAGAAUGGAAACUGUCCCAGGAGAUGUGAUUUCACCUUCUUCCGAUUUCAGGGAGGAAUGGGUUGCCCAGAUGACUCUUCUAUCCGUUAAAUUCUGGUUAUGUAGUUAACCUCCAAUGACUAAGACUCCCACAGACUGAAGCUCAAGAUGUAUUAGUAAUUAUAUUUUCAGUCCAUUUAUUUUUAAUCUAUUUUUAUUUUUUUUUUUAAAUGCAUCAUUUGUUUUUCCUAAAUGGUGUUUCUGGUUUCUCUAGAGGGACGAGCAUAUAUCAAGAACUCAAUAAAAGGAACAAACCUCAACACCAAUGACCUUUAAGGUCCCUUUGUUACAAAGUCAUUCUGUACUUUUUCCAAGGACACAGGAGGCAGUCGUGGCUCUAAAUGGCUAGUGACCAUUGGUCAAUACAAUCUUCUAUUAAGUCAGUGAUUUCCAAUUAUGCAGGCUAAACCCUAGUAGCCUUGGAGGUAGGGAGAUGACAAACUCCGGAGAGAAAGGGACAAAAGCCUUCAUUCGUUUUGAAGCAGGUUAGGAUGGUACCAGCUGUGAGCACUCACAGUGCUCCCUGAGGCCCCUUCCUGCUGUGGGGAGCCAGGGCUGUCUGCCUCAGGCCCCAGCUGACAUCACACCUUCUGAAAGUGAAAUGUUUCUUUUCCCUGUUUUUUAUUCUCCCCAGUAGGUGGGGAGUGAAACACUGUGAAAUCACCCCACCAACGUUUUUACAAAGCCUCCAGGUAAGCCAAACAAAGCCACAGCUCUCACCAUUGAUGACAGGUACAGAGAGACCUCUCUGUGAAGUCCAGGGCUAAGGAAGCUUAAAUGCAGAGAGACAGAUGGCCCUUUGCCACUUGGGUGCCUGAGAGGCCAUCAACUCAGGAAGUUCUCAGGAAGAUGGUUUCAAGUGGACACGGGGACUCCGGUAUACACAUCCCUCAGCCCCUCCGUGUAGAAACCUGCCCCACCAUGGCAGGCCCCAACCCGCUACAUUGAUGGCCCUAGGAGUUAGAAUAUCUAACUACUAAACAAACAAAAUGAAAGAGGCAUAUUGUUUUGGAAAGAGAAUUUUCCCAGCCAGGAUAAAUUCUCAAGCAAAAAUAACCAAAUUAAGCUCUUUAAUCUGAUUUUACCAAACACCACUAAUGUCAUAUAAUAUUCAACCCCUCACAUGUAUCAUCAGUGAAUAAGAUAUGUUCAUUAGAAAUACUAAUGACCCACGUUCAAUCCAGCUGCCUUAACCAUCUUGUUGUUGGGGGCAAGGAUGUGCCGCAUUUCCCUACCUGCUUCCCUUUCUUGAGCCCUCUCUUUGUUGGGCUGUUCAAGUAGCCCAAGUUCAAACAUUGGGACCAGUCAUUAACAAUAAGACCAGUGAGAAAUAAUUAGACCGGGGAAAGUAAGUACAGAUACUGAAAGACAUCAGGGCAGUUGAAUCCUACCAAAAGACUAAGAGAUCUUUGGAGUACUCUUUCAGAAAAAACAGGACACCUGGAUUUUCUUCUUGGCUCUAUCAUUUCAAGUUUCUUCAUUAUUUUUGCCAUCUCUAAACUAUUGACUAUUCCAAUCCCCCUCCACCUCCAUCUCCAGCACAUUAAGAAUGGUUCCAAUUCAUUAUA